AAUAGAUACCCUGGUAGUCCACGCCGUAAACGAUGAGUGCUAAGUGUUAGGGGGGGUUCCACCCCUUAGUGCUGCAGCUAACGCAUUAAGCACUCCGCCUGGGGAGUACGGUCGCAAGACUGAAACUCAAAGGAAUUGACGGGGGCCCGCACAAGCGGUGGAGCAUGUGGUCUAAUUCGAAGCAACGCGAAGAACCUUACCAGGUCUUGACAUCCCGCUGACCGCUAUGGAGACAUAGCCUUCCCUUCGGGGACAGCGGUGACAGGUGGUGCAUGGUUGUCGUCAGCUCGUGUCGUGAGAUGUUGGGUUAAGUCCCGCAACGAGCGCAACCCUUGUCCUUAGUUGCCAUCAUUCAGUUGGGCACUCUAAGGAGACUGCCGUACAAAUACGGAGGAAGGUGGGGAUGACGUCAAAUCAUCAUGCCCCUUAUGACCCGGGCUACACACGUGCUACAAUGGACGGUACAAACGGUCGCGAAGUCGCGAGACGGAGCCAAUCCGAAAAAACCGUUCUCAGUUCGGAUUGCAGG
rnacentral:rRNA from 1 species